GCUCGUGGAUCGAUGAAGACCGCAGCUAAAUGCGCGUCAGAAUGUGAACUGCAGGACACAUGAACACCGACAAGUUGAACGCAUAUUGCACAUCGUACAACAGUACGAUGUACACAUUUUUGAGUGCCUAUAUUUACCCAUUCAACUAUACGUGCUGCGCGCUUCACUCCGGGUGGACAGGCGCAGGUACCGCGUAUGCGGAGUGAUGUUUUCCCGCCUUCGGUGGCGGUAAAACAUUGAAGAUAGUCAGGCGUGCGUGCCUCCCCCGCAAAGGGGGGCCCGUGCGGUUGAUGAAUACAUCCCAUAGGCCACACACCCUCCGGUUGGCUAUGUUGUAUUCCAUCAGCACUAACCUAACUCACUCACUCAGUAGGCCUCAAAUAAUGUGUGACUACCCCCUAAAUUUAAGCA
rnacentral:rRNA from 1 species